ACGCAUCAACGCCGCGUGAGGGAUGAAUGCCUUCGGGUUGUAAACCUCUUUCGAGCAGGGACAAUNAUGACGGUACCUGCAGAAGAAGCUCNUNNCNACUACNUGCCGGCAGCCGCGGUAAUACNUAAGGAGCGAGCGUUGUNCGGAUUNAUUGGGCGUAAANAGCUCNUAGGCGGCUUGAUAAGUCGGAUGUGAAACCUCCAGGCUCAACCUGNAGUCGCCAUCCGAUACUGUCAUGGCUAGAGUCCGGUAGGGGCCCACGGAAUUCCUGGUGUAGCGGUGAAAUGCGCAGAUAUCAGGAGGAACACCGGUGGCGAAAGCNGUGUGGCUGGGCCGGCACUGACGCUGAAGAGCGAAAGCGUGGGGAGCGAACAGGAUUAGAUACCCUGGUAGUCCACGCCGUAAACNUUGGGCACUAGGUGUGGGGCCUUAUCAACGGGUUCCGUGCCGUANCUAACGCAUUAAGUGCCCCCCCUGGAGAGUACGGCCGCAAGGCUAAAACUCAAAGGAAUUGACGGGGGCCCGCACA
rnacentral:rRNA from 1 species